rnacentral:lncRNA from 1 species
CAUACAUCAUGUAUUAAACAGGGACUAACCAAGUCUCAGGGCCAAGCACAGUACUAAUCCAUAAACAUAUUAUCUUACAAUCUAUUACAUCACAUACAUUCCUUUAAUCUACAUCAUGUCCACUACUCUAUUACAUAGCCAAAACCUUUACCCUUGACGUCUUCCUGGACUACCUCUGACCUGCAAAACUGGGGUUAGGGGAGAGGGG